UAAAUUGUUGUACGGCUAGUGCGCGAUCGCCAGGCCGGUCACCCGUUGCGGUUUGCUGCACACACCUAUUUGAACAAGCACACACACACAUACACAAAACCUCCUCCUUCUUUUUCUUCUCCAUAGCCGAGCACAGCAAUUUCUCUGCGCACUAUUCGGGGCCUCGUUCUGCUUAUGCGGUCACAGCAGAUCGUCUACAAACGGCUGGCCCUCCCAAACAGUCGCAUACUCUCCCGUCUGUCACUGUCUAGGUC
ensembl:ncRNA F52B10.22 ncRNA